rnacentral:lncRNA from 1 species
CCCCCUAUUCCCCUCAUAGUGCACUACGGCAACACAGAGAGGAGCGCGUCCCAAAUUACCCCCUAUUCCCCUCAUAGUGCACUACGGCAACACAGAGAGGAGCGCAUCCCAAAUUACCCCCUAUUCCCCUCAUAGUGCACUACGGCAACACAGAGGGGUGCGCAUCCCAAAUUACCCCCUAUUCCCCUCAUAGUGCACUACUUCUAACCAGAGCCCAAUGGGUAGGUAGAGCACUAGAAAGGAAAGAGGAAGCCAUUUUGGGACAGUGUAGUAGUAAUAAUUACUGAUUCCUGAAGGACAUUUCAUCUCUUUAGUCUCUAACAGAAGUUGCCAGUUUGGAGACAUUUCAUCUCUUUAGUCUCUAACAGAAGUUGCCAGUUUGGAGACAUUUCAUCUCUUUAGUCUCUAACAGAAGUUGCCAGUUUGGAGACAUUUCAUCUCUUUAGUCUCUAACAGAAGUUGCCAGUUUGGAGAGAAAAUACACAUUAUAGACUCAGACUAUUUACAACAUGAAGCAUACAUGUAUAUACACAGGAUAAUAUACCACUGGCAAGCUGAGGGAGAAUUCUUUCUCUGCAGGGUUCAGACUGUAGACUGGUGGGGUCAUGGGGUCAGGGUCUAGACUGUAGACUGGUGGGGUCAGGGUCUAGACUGUAGACUGGUGGGGUCAUGGGGUCAGGGUCUAGACUGUAGACUGGUGGGGUCAUGGGGUCAGGGUUCAGACUGGUGGGGUCAUGGGGUCAGGGUCUAGACUGUAGACUGGUGGGGUCAGGAUCUAGACUGUAGACUGGUGGGGUCAGGGGGUCAGGGUCUAGACUGUAGACUGGUGGGGUCAGGGUCUAGACUGUAGACUGGUGGGGUCAGCUAGGGGUCAGGGUCUAGACUGUAGACUGGUGGGGUCAGGGUCUAGACUGUAGACUGGUGGGGUCAGGGUCUAGACUGUAGACUGGUGGGGUCAGCUAGGGGUCAGGAUCUAGACUGUAGACUGGUGGGGUCAGGGUCUAGACUGUAGACUGGUGGGGUCAGGGUCUAGACUGUAGACUGGUGGGGUCAGGAUCUAGACUGUAGACUGGUGGGGUCAGGAUCUAGACUGUAGACUGGUGGGGUCAGGGUCUAGACUGUAGACUGGUGGGGUCAGGGUCUAGACUGUAGACUGGUGGGGUCAGGUAGAGGUCAUUAAACGGGAAUUAAAUUGCUCUCCAAAAUCUGAAUGUGUUCGCUCACUUCCAAACCUAAAAAAAUAGUUUAUUCUGACGUGACUUAAACAUUGACAUGGACUCAGAACAUGCAGUUUGGAGAGUAAAAACGAAAUACAUCUCAAAUUAAACACGUGAAAACACGAUUUAGG